GGCAACGUGGUGUAAUGGUAACACUCCUUGAUUGAAUGAUCUCAUGAGAUUGAGGUGCUGUGGGUUCGAUUCCCACUGUGGCCA